rnacentral:lncRNA from 1 species
GCUGGUGCGACAGGAAGCAGUCGCCGUGCUGCGCCAGCCCGCUCCAGUCGGGUCCCCUGUGCUUCAGCCUGUUGCACCACCACCACCAUGAAGCAGAGGUCAGAAGCUCGAGUCUCCGGCUCCGCCCCAGAAAUCAAACAGUUACAGGAACUAGCAACUCGGAGCAGAAGGUUUCAUCGUCAGAACCCGCCUUCUCAUUUCUGAGAAUCUGUUCUUGGUUCGAUUUUACGAAGCAUUAAGCAGGGCAAAAAGUUGGGAGUAUUUUAAUAAUAUUAGGACGAGGAGUUAGCUCUCCAUGAACGACGAUGGAGAAAUCUGAUAGAGACGAGGCGCGGGCCACCCGUGGUUGGGCACCGCCGUCCGUCCCGGAGCUACCCGGGGAGGGGAGCCCUCUCUGUGUGAACAGAGUGAGGAAACGGGGGUUUCGGAAGAUGGCGGAGAGCUCGGAGGAGUUGAGGAGGAGAGGUCAUUGCCUGCGGGAAAGCUCGAGAACUCGGACCCUCUUCGCCUGAGAGUCGUCCGAGCAGCACAACACCGCCAGUAUCCCACACAUGGUGGCCGGAGGAGGGGGGAGGAGGAGGAGGAGGGGGCCGGGAAGAAGGAGGGGAGCUGGACUGGACUGGCCGGCCGGGAGGGGGGAGGGGAUGAUGAGCAGUAGAAGCUUGCUGCUUGGCGGAGUCCCGUGCGGAUGCACCCGUAUUUAUAGGCGGAGGGGAGCAAGAAGCUCCUCAAGCGGCGCCG